rnacentral:tRNA from 1 species
UCCUUGGUAGUAUAGUGGUGAGUAUACCCUCUUGUUACGCGGGAGACUGUGGUUCGAUUCAUUGCUGGGGAG